rnacentral:rRNA from 1 species
UCCGGUUGAUCCUGCCAGAGGCCGCUGCUAUCCGGCUGGGACUAAGCCAUGCUAGUCUAGGGGCUUGUACUCCUUCGGGGGUGCAAGCACCGGCGGACGGCUCAGUAACACGUGGACAACCUGCCCUCGGGUGGGGGAUAACCCCGGGAAACUGGGGCUAAUCCCCCAUAGGUGAUGGGUGCUGGAAUGCCCCAUCUCCGAAAGCGCUUAGCGCCCGAGGAUGGGUCUGCGGCGGAUUAGGUAGUUGGUGGGGUAACGGCCCACCAAGCCUAAGAUCCGUACGGGCUGUGGGAGCAGGAGCCCGGAGAUGGACCCUGAGACAAGGGUCCAGGCCCUACGGGGCGCAGCAGGCGCGAAACCUCCGCAAUGCGGGAAACCGCGACGGGGUUAGCCGGAUUGCCC